rnacentral:rRNA from 1 species
GACAGAGGGGGCAAGCGUUGCUCGGAAUUACUGGGCGUAAAGGGCGCGUAGGCGGGAUGGCAAGUCGAUCGUGAAAUCCUUCGGCUCAACCGAAGAACGUCGAUCGAUACUGCUGUUCUUGAGGGUUGCAGAGGAGACUGGAAUUCCCGGUGUAGCGGUGAAAUGUGUAGAGAUCGGGAGGAACACCGGUGGCGAAGGCGGGUCUCUGGGCAAUUCCUGACGCUGAGGCGCGAAAGCGUGGGGAGCAAACGGG